rnacentral:misc_RNA from 1 species
GAAAUGCGAUAAGUAGUGUGAAUUGCAGAAUUUAGCGAAUCAUCGAAUCUUUGAACGCACAUUGCGCCCCUUGGUAUUCCAUGGGGCAUGCCUGUUCGAGCGUCAUUUCAACCCUCAAGCACUGCUUGGUGUUGGGCGUUUGUCCCGCCUACGCGCGUGGACUCGCCUCAAAGUCAUUGGCAGCUGUUCCCCUUCGGCUCGUAAGCGCAGCACAGUCGGCGCCCGGAGCUCUGGUGGGAUGGCGUCCAGCAAGCUAUAUUUUCAGGCUUGACCUCGGAUCAGGUAGGGAUACGCGCAGAACUUAAGC